CUCCGCUCCCCUGGCCGCACUUCCGCUCCCCUGGCCGCACUUCCGCUCCCCUGGCCGCACUUCCGCUCCACUGGCGGCCCAGCAUGACAAGGUGGCUGAGGUGGGGACCUAGAGGAUGCGGGGCGGGGGUGCAGUGGUCACCCCAGGUAGCAGCCGCCAGCUCCUCCCCCACCUCCCCCGACCCGACCCCCAGCUCCUGGGGCCAUAAGGGGCUCCGUGGCUCAGACCCAGGUGCUGUGUGGUGUGCGUUGACCACGAAGGAGAAGAGGACGACGAGGCCGGGAAGCAGAGGAGGCCCUGGAUUCCGAGGACGCUGAGGAAGAGGAGGGGAGGGCGAGGAAGAGGACGACGCGGCCAGUGCCUGCACGGAAAGCGGCUUCAGGAGGCACAGCCCCUACAGGUGAGACCCCAGGCAUCAUGGAGCAGAGACAAGCCAUCCCUACUGUGCCCUGUAUGGAUUUCUGUCUCAUAGAAUUUGUGUUCCACAUCACAGGAUCAGAGGAGCCCCACGGAGGAAGUUAGGGUUAUGAAGGACAGGCUGAAGCAAGACACCUGCAGGAAGCUUAUGUAAAUGUAAAAGAGUGAUGACUGAGCAUGUGGAUGAGGUGAGACCCCAGGCAUCAUGGAGCAGAGACAAGCCAUCCCUACUGUGCCCUGUAUGGAUUUCUGUCUCAUAGAAUUUGUGUUCCACAUCACAGGAUCAGAGGAGCCCCACGGAAGAAGUUAGGGUUAUGAAGGACAGGCUGAAGCAAGACACCUGCAGGAAGCUUAUGUAAAUGUAAAAGAGUGAUGACUGAGCAUGUGGAUGAGGUAAGGAGUAGGGUCAAAAGAUAUGAAUGAUACAGUCCAUCCCUUGCUUCCCUCCCAUAUGUUUGUGUCUUUGUUUUGUCAAAUCCAUUAGAAAGCCUCCUUCAGAUGGUUUUAUUAGUUCUUUCAAGUUAAAUGGAACCCUAUACUAGUGCAUCAUCAUUGUCCCCAUCCUUCCCAGGAACCUAGCAGAGCCUAAUCCAACUUAAUUCAGCAAAGCCUAAUGUUGCAGGGAUGGGAACCACAAAUAGAUCAAGAGGAAUCAUGGAGAGAGGGACCAAUCCUACAUUAAUUCCUUGGUUCCUAUAUGUUCUAGUUACUGGGAACAUGGCAUCAUCUAUCGCAGUAGGUCUCAACCUUCCUAAUGCUGCGACCCUUUAAUACAGUUCCUCAUGUUGUGGUGACCACCAACCAUAAAAUUAUUUUCGUUGCUACUUCAUAACUAUAAUUUUGCUACUGUUAUGAAUCAUUAUGUAAAUAUGUGAUAUGCAGGUUGUAUUUUCAUUGUUACAAAUUGAACAUAAUUAAAGCAUAGUGAUCAAUGACAAAAACAAUAUAUAAUUAUAUAUGUGUUUUCUGAUGGUCUUAGGUGACCCCUGUGAAAGGGUGGUUUGACCCCCAAAGGGGUCGCGACUCACAGGUUGAGAACCGCUGAUCUAUGGGCUUUUAGUUUAGUGCAUAUAUUGCAUUGUGGAGAUUCUCAAUCCUGAAGUUUGUUGUCUUCUUAGCUAAAUUAUUCAUACCACACCAUUUUCUUGGUCUGGCUUCUUCUGGGUGAUUAAAUACAUAAUUAUACCAGUGGAUCCCAUAUGCCCACUGAUUCAUCUCAUUUGCUAUGAAAUGGAACAUUUGCCUGAGGCAGUGUUGUGCAAACACCAUACUAUCCGUAAAUCUGACCAGCUGGCAGAGGCACUGAGGUUGGAUUGUUCUCUCUUCCAGGAUUGUUUUCUCAAGAUACUCAACAUGUCUCUCUUUGAGGGGAGGGGCCUUAUUGAGACUUGACAUCUCUGCUGUUGGGUGGUUAGACAUUCAGUAGUGGCAAUAGUUAAGUUGGCCUUGAUGAGAGAAAUCCCAUACUGUUGGGACCGUGUGUAGCCUCCAUCCUUGUCACUAAAGUGUCUCUGCACAAGCUCAUUGCAUUUAGCACUGUUGUAGCUGAGGGGAGAGGCUGGCUGACAUCCACAGGACAAGUCACAGAUUUCCUCCUUCGCUGUAAUGCCCUCCACUUCAGUCGUGAGUGCUUGUUCAGUACUUCUAGGUUGCACAUGCCCGAGUAUUGAGCAGAUUCCUGUAGGCAUUCUACAUCUCAGCAUCAGAGAAUCUCUGAUACAGGAAAAGAGGGGUAUGCAUGAUGGCCAAAGUAAAGUGCCGUCAGAUGAUCUCUACAUGGAGUUGGACAAACUGUGUGCAGAACUUGCUGAGGUGGUGGCCAGAGUAAGAGAUGGGGUGAAAGAAUGGAAGGGGUAUACAGAGGUGUCUGACACAGCACUGAAUACUUGCUUAUUCAGUGAAAGAAAAAAUGAAGGAACAAAUGUCUGAUUUCACAAUAUACUUACUGCCAUUUCUUGACUUCCCCAAUGUAGAAAACAUUUUGUAAGUGUUUUUGUGUACUU